GGUUAGUCCGAGUGUGGUGGUGUUUACAGCUAAUUGAUCACAACCAGUUACAGAUUUCUUUGUUUCUUCUCCACUCCCACUGCUCCAUUUGACCAGCCUUUA
ensembl:misc_RNA Y_RNA Y RNA